CUUUGCAAUGUUAGUCUGUAGACCUCAUUUCCAUGUUGUUCUCUAUUGCACUGACAGGUGUUACCGCUACAUUUCCACCAUGGAUGAAUACAACAGGCAGACGUACAACAGGCACUUCUGACCCAUGGCUAACUACCGCAGGAAUAAGCAUCCGACUGGUGAAUGGAAGGAACAGAUGCGAGGGCCGUGUUGAAAUCAGUUACAACGGAGCCUGGGGGACGGUUUGUGAUGAUUCCUGGGAUGUCAGCGAUGC
rnacentral:lncRNA from 1 species